GAGCGAUCAAGUGCCUUAAGAGCAUCUGGUGGAUGCCUUGGCGCUGAGAGGCGAUGAAGGACGUGGUACGCUGCGAUAAGCCUUGGGGAGCUGCGAACGAGCUUUGAUCCGAGGAUC
rnacentral:rRNA from 1 species